GUCUCUGUAGCCCAAUGGAUGGCGCGUUGGACUUCUAAUCCAAAGGUCGUGUGUUCGAAUCCCACCUGGGAUG
rnacentral:tRNA from 1 species